UAAAUGCACGCCUUAUUGAUUUUGGACUAGCCCGUGAAAAACACGACGCAUCAACAACCUCCGGAGUAAGAACAUAUUAUGAGCAUCCUGACGUAGGUGAUGGUAAAGGUGCCACAGAAUGCUAUGAUUAUUAUAGCUUUGGAGUCAUAAUUCGAGAAAUGUUAACUAGUCUUGGACCUGAAGGGGAGGAUAAUCAUUUCUUGAAGAAAAUGGACAAAGAUCAGAUUGGAGAAAAACUAGACAGAGAGGUAUGGAAAUGUAAGGAAAUAUGGGAAAAACUAAGUGAAUUGUCCUUAAAAUGUUUGGAGGCAAAAACAUGGACUAUUAAAAACUUCAAAACAGAUGUGGUGGAUC